rnacentral:sRNA from 1 species
UGUGGUGGCGGCGGCAGUGGCGGCACCGCCUCCUCCUCACACUCCCGGGGUGGCGGGGUUAGAUGAGCGGCCCCAGUAGCGGCGAGGGCGGCGCGGGGGGGAGGAGGAGAAGAAGGAGGAGGAGAAGGAGGUCGCUGUCUUUGUAGUCUCCCUGCUGCGGGAGCCAGAGGCCGCCGCCGGAGCCGUCGUCGUUGGAAAAGGGCUGUGUGUGCGCGCGCGUGUCUGCCCGCCCGGCCCGCGGGGACGAGGCGGCGGCGGCGGCGGCGGCGAGGAAGAUGAUGUGCGCAGCGACUGCCUCCCCCGCCGCCGCCUCCUCGGGGCUCGGCGGGGACGGAUUCUACCCAGCCGCCACCUUCUCUUCCUCCCCUGCGCCGGGGGCGCUGUUCAUGCCGGUUCCCGACGGCUCCGUGGCUGCUGCGGGGCUGGGGCUGGGGCUACCCGCCGCGGACUCCCGGGGUCACUACCAGCUGCUGCUGUCAGGCCGGGCCCUGGCCGACCGCUACCGGAGGAUUUAUACCGCUGCGCUCAAUGACAGGGACCAGGGGGGCGGCAGCGCUGGACACCCAGCCUCCAGGAAUAAGAAAAUUUUAAAUAAGAAGAAAUUGAAAAGAAAACAGAAGAGCAAAUCAAAAGUGAAGACAAGAAG